UGAGAGAACGCAAUUGAUACA
ensembl:piRNA 21ur-2647 ncRNA